rnacentral:lncRNA from 1 species
CCAGGUUUAUCUAGCAGCCCAGCCACAGAGCCGUUCUGGGCAGGCGAAGAGAGGCUGCUGGCUAAUGAGCACGGAGAGAUUCACAGAGGAGAGAGCGCUGUGGCGGCUGAGUCAGCUCUUCUCGCGCAGACCCGUCGAGCUGCUCGGUGACUUCAAGGGCCGCACUUCUGCUGUUUCUGUGCACACAGCCGGACGAGGAUUUAUUUUGGACGAGAACUCAAAUCCCAGGAGAAACAGUACUACACAAAGAUGCUAAGACAUAGCCACCCACAUGGAAUGAAUUUUAAAGCUGCCUGGGAUGGAUUAUUGAAGGACGCCAUUAGGAACCUCUACAAGUGCAAUGCAAGGUAUGUGGUGUGUUGCGUAUAUUUUUUUAGGGGAUAUAUAUUUUUUUAUUAUAUUUUUUC